rnacentral:misc_RNA from 1 species
AUGAAGAACGCAGCGAAAUGCGAUAAGUAGUGUGAAUUGCAGAAUUCAGUGAAUCAUCGAAUCUUUGAACGCACAUUGCGCCCUUUGGUAUUCCAAAGGGCAUGCCUGUUCGAGCGUCAUUUGUACCCUCAAGCUUUGCUUGGUGUUGGGCGUCUUGUCUCUAGCUUUGCUGGAGACUCGCCUUAAAGUAAUUGGCAGCCGGCCUACUGGUUUCGGAGCGCAGCACAAGUCGCACUCUCUAUCAGCAAAGGUCUAGCAUCCAUUAAGCCUUUUUUUUCAACUUUUGACCUCGGAUCAGGUAGGGAUACCCGCUGAACUUAAGCAUAUCAAUAAGCGGAGGA